CGGCCGCGUCGACGCCGGGGCUUAACUUCGGAAAGGCAGUGGAAACUGAACAGCUAGAGUAUGGUAGGGGCAGAGGGAAUUCCUGGUGUAGCGGUGAAAUGCGUAGAGAUCAGGAAGAACAUCGGUGGCGAAGGCGCUCUGCUGGACCAUAACUGACGCUGAGGCUCGAAAGCGUGGGGAGCGAACAGGAUUAGAUACCCUGGUAGUCCACGCCGUAAACGAUGAGUGCUAGGUGUUGGAUCCUUUCCGGGAUUCAGUGCCGCAGCUAACGCAUUAAGCACUCCGCCUGGGGAGUACGACCGCAAGGUUGAAACUCAAAGGAAUUGACGGGGGCCCGCACAAGCGGUGGAGCAUGUGGUUUAAUUCGAAGCAACGCGAAGAACCUUACC
rnacentral:rRNA from 1 species